rnacentral:rRNA from 1 species
AUUGAACGCUGGCGGCAGGCCUAACACAUGCAAGUCGAAUGGUAACAGGAAACAGCUUGCUGUUUCGCUGACGAGUGGCGGACGGGUGAGUCAUGUCUGUGAAACUGCCUGAUGGAGGGGGUUAACUACUGGAAACGGUAGCUAAUACCGCAUAACGUCGCAAGACCAAAGAGGGGGACCUUCGGGCCUCUUGCCAUCAGAUGUGCCCAGAUGGGAUUAGCUAGUAGGUGGGGUAACGGCUCACCUAGGCGACGAUCCCUAGCUGGUCUGAGCGGAUGACCAGCCACACUGGAACUGAGACACGGUCCAGACUCCUACGGGAGGCAGCAGUGGGGAAUAUUGCACAAUGGGCGCAAGCCUGAUGCAGCCAUGCCGCGUGUAUGAAGAAGGCCUUCGGGUUGUAAAGUACUUUCAGCGGGGAGGAAGGGAGGAAAGUUAAUACCUUUGCUCAUUGACGUUACCCGAAGAAGAAGCACCGGCUAACUCCGUG